GUGCGGGGGGCGGAGGAAAAGUGCGACAGCCUAUGAGAAUUCAGGGGGGAUGCCUUCAGCCAAUGAGAAGGGCGCACGGGGGGGCGCGGGCUGGGCUGCAGCGAGUGGAUCCAGCAGCGGGUGGUCGCACAGGGCUAGGGCAGCCGCUGCUGGGUGCUGGCUGCGGAACACCUAGUCCUGGCCCACGCGGCUGGGGGUAUCGUGCCGCCAGAUUGUACCGACGUCCCCCAACAAAGCACGUGACCCCCGUUUGGUGAUAAAGAGAGAGCACCGUCUUAUGAGUGGGCAUUGGGAAGCGGCCUCAGUAAGAGUGCCUUAGUUUCAACCCUGUUUCCCAAACUCCGAUCAGAAAAGGAACAUCCUCCACCAAAGCAGCCAAUCAGCAGUUCUUCUGAACUCUGGAAGUGUGCUGGAAGUCUGGAAGUGUGGGUCCGUCUCACCUCCAAGUGUAGGCUCCUCCCAGCCCAGUCUUCAUCGUGGAGCUGAGGAGCCGCUGCUCGGUCCACAGACUUAUUUAACAGAAGGCUGUUAGAGGCUCUGCUGACUCCCCGCCACGUGGGAUCUCGCCCAUGUCUUUUGUCCUAGACCUGAGUGCCCCUCUUUGGACAAAGCUGAGGCAGCGGUAGCGGAUGGAUGGAGAAAAGAAAGAAGAGGCGUAGAUGGGAAGUGGGUGCUCGGGCGCCUCUUGCUCUCUCGAGCGGCUCACAGGAGAGAGACGAAGGCCUCUUGAAGAGUCCUCACUCAGGGUGAUGGGAAUCCUGUUUCCUUUUGCUCAUUUGUGUCACAUUCUUCCAUCGGGCUGGGCAACUGACAGGUGCAUCCCUCCCCGGGCCCUUCUCUGAGUCCCCUCCCUGCCAUUUGUCUCUCACCCAGAUAUCCGGCAGACGCCACCAUCCGCGGAAGCUGAAUAUGAUUAGCAGAAACCCUUCCUGACAGCUCCAAAGAGAAUCCCUCAAAUGCAUAUUCUAUUGAGUGCAUCUCAUUGCUGCUGACAGUAGCUUUAUCAAUUAAAUUCCACAUUCCCAGUCUUUGGAGACGCCAUGAACCUCCCUACCUAAUAAAUCACAGGCCCCCAGUUAUUGUUAAAUGUCCCAUCAGUCUCUAAUAAACUCCCUGCCAACGGGGGCAGGUUAUUUAUUAUGCUGCCUGGACAAGAAUGAAUUGGGCCCCGUUCUUACAAGGGGAAGAGCAAAUGUGACGCCUUCCUCCCUAAAGACUGAGGCCGUGCUAUUAAAAGGGGCAAUUAAUCAAUGUGGGCCUUGGGCAGAGGAGAGCCUGGUCUGGAGACAGGGAGGAAGACCUGGGGUUCUUUUCCGAAAGCCUGCCGGGCCAAUGUCCAUGGCGGGAGGUGGCUGUGCAGAGUGCGUGGGCUGGGCCUUUGCGGCGGCUUCCCCACCUCCUAAUUCCUGUCUGAAAAGGUACUGAAGAUAUAAGGUCACCCCGUGGGCCAAGGGGCGCAUGUAAAAAUAGUUAUCCUCUGUUUUGGGAGGUAGCCACUUAGGAAUGAGAAGGUCAUGAAACAAAUUCUGUCCAGGUGGCCACACAUUGUUACUUGAUAAACUUUAUAUAACCUAAGUGUAUCGAUGGCGCUAGUCCACUGAGCAGAUGAACUGAAGAAUGCCGGAGGGAAGGCCCCCCUUGUCUGGGAGCAAGAACUAGGAAACACUUGCUUCAUCAGUUUGUGGGGUAAACACCACACAGGUAAGCCCUGGUACUCGGGAAGCAGUGUACCAACACCGAAAACACCCGGGAGCUAGCAGGUGUAAGACACAAGCGUGUGAAGGGCGUCCUGAAGUUCCCCGCCUCAGGUUAGAUCCCAGAUCUAGAUGAUGCUCCACGGUCUGCCAGUUAAAACCCAGACUCCUCGGCUUUGCCAUUAAUCGAGCCCCAUCCACAUUUCCAACUGUAUCUCUCUUUAUUUUAUGUAACAGUACCCCGCAUUGGGAGAGCACAGCACAGUCAUUUUCUAUUCCUUAUGGUAGCAGACAAGGUCCUUCAUAACAUGGGACCAAUAUAUCUCUGCAGCCUCAUUUCCUGGUAAUUGCUGCCAUACUUGCCUCCGUUCACACUAAAGCUCGUGGCUUCCCUAAACUAUUAUGGUUUCUCAUGCUUCCACGCCUUUGCACAAACUGUUCGCUUUGCCCAGAAUAUCUCUCUAACUUGCCUGCUUGGUGAGCUCUCUCCUUCCACCCCCACUGCCUGAUGAAACUCCUUAUCUAUCCUUCAGGAUCAGCUCAGAAAAUGAGCCCGCAGUGCUUCACAGGACUUGGGCUUGGCCUCCUGGCGCUGCUGUUUUGGCAGAUGUACUAGACUCCAGGGUAGGUAUCCUUCUCCUUGAGGGCAACGGCUGUGUCCAUAUUGGGUGUUCAGAAGAUAUCUGUUGAAAGAAUAAAGAGAAGCUUCAGAUUGAAUGCAAAUAACAUUGCCUACCCUUUGUUGCUUUGAGAUCAAAUGAGAAAAAGUAGCUGUAAAAAUGGUAGUUCUGUUCCUUCUUUCCACAUUCUCCUUACACCCACCAUGGGCCACCUUAAUGUCUAUGCUUUUAUUUACAUUGUUUUCCUCUACACCGGUGCAAAAACCUCCACUGUGGAAUGAUUGUAUGGGACCGCUUGAACCUCCACGUCCAUCCUGAGUGUAAGUUUUACUUGCUUUUCAGUGCACAGGAAUCCUUCCCUUCUCUAGCUCCCAGGUACAUUAGGUGAAGUAAGGCUUUCCAGGUAGACAGAAUAGAAUAAAAAAAGGCUGAGGUCCCAUUGAGAUUUUUCCUGAGGGGAGGCCGGGAAGCACACACAGUCUGACUCAUUGCUGUGUAUGUUACUCUCAUACCUUACCUAGUUAUUAAAUGGUGCCUUACCUCUGUGUUUUAUCUUUACAGCACUAAAAGUUACAGCCAACAACUUUAUCUAACUUUUCCAUUACUGAAGAAAAUAUUUUAUGUAUUGAUUUGUGCUUUUUAGCUGUAGCAAUACAAUUUAUUCCUAGUAACCUCACUGCAAUAUUUGUGUCCGUAAAACAUCAUAAACAAGAAACACGAUCACAGAAUGUCUAUAAAACUGGACGUGUUCUUUUCUGGAAAAGCAGUCUUUUUGUUUCUUUUGGGAUGAGAGCUGGCUUCUUUAUCGAUUGGUGUGAGUUUAUAGAAUUACUGCUAUGCGCAAUGGAGACCCAGCAAAGACUUUUGAGCAAGAUUCAGUGUUUAUUAGGCCCACCAAGGGCCUGGUGCUGGGCUGGAGAGCCUGGAGUGAAAAAAUUCCCAUCCUUGAGAAGCUUAUAGUUUUGUUGUUUUUUUUUUUAGUGUAAGGGACAGACACCUAAACAAGUAAAUAGAACCGGGUAAGAGACUGGAGUUAUUAUAGUGUGAAGUGGGAGUCUGGCAUGGGAAAUAAAAAAGUUUGUUAAAAGGAUCUAGGGGCACCUGGGUGGCUCAGUCGGUUAAACAUCUGACUACGGCUCAGGUCAUGAUCUCGAGGUUCACAAGUUUGAGCCCCCAGUCAAGCUCUGUGCUGACAGCUCAGAGCCUGGAGACUGCCUCAGAUUCUGUCUCCCUCGCUCUCUGCCCCUCCCCUGCUCAUGUUCAAAUGCUCUCUCUCUCUCUAAAAAAAAAGUAAAUAAAAAUAAUAAUAAUAAAAAAAAGGAACAGGAUCUGAAGCUGGACCCAAACAACCUAUGGUACACACUUAAGAAUGAUUACUCCAGUACUUGUGGAGUGAGUGGCUGGGAGAGAGAAGAAAAGGGACAGGGGACUAUUCAGAAGGUUGUUUCAAUAGCUAGGCUGACAAAGGGGCUUAAAGUAGGACAAAUCCUAUGGAGACUGGACAGAGGAAUGAAUGAGGUACAUAGAGGCAAAAUUACCUGCCCUCAGGUAAACUGUAAGAAAAGGGAGAGUGAUGGUAGAUGGUAGAGUGCCCCAGUGGGGCACCUGGGUGGCUCAGUCGUUUUAAGCAUCCGGCUUCGGCUCAGGUCGUGAUCUCGCGGUCCAUGAGUUUGAGCCCUGCGUUGGGCUCUGUGCUGACAGCUCAGAACCUGGAGCCUGCUUCUGAUUCUGUGUCUCCCUCUCUCUCUGACCCUCCCCCCAUUCAUGCUCUCUCUCUGUCUCAAAAAUAAAUAAAUGUUA